CUGCAUAAGCUGUGUCGGUGGCAUAUCAUGAAGAAGUACAAAGACCACCUCGCCUUGUUGUAUAAGGCGCAUGAGAAACUAAAGGAUGAACUCAAUGCGGUGCUGAACAACCCACUAAUGCCGUCAGAAUUUGAACAAGCAUGGAAGAACGUCAUUCAGAGGUGCAACUUGCAAGAUGAUGAAGUGAUGAAUUCGCUGUGGGAUGACAAGCAUGAGUGGAUCUCGGCUUACUACAAGGAAAUUUUAUGUGCUUGGAUGACUUCCACACAGAGAAGCGAGAGCAUGAACCGCGUACUGAAGACAAUUUUUGUCAAGCAGAAGCAUGAUCUCCAUCUGUUUGCUCAGCAGGUGGAUAAGUGCAUUCAGACGAGGAAGGUCGUCGAGCACGAAGAAACAGUAACAAAUGAGUCAGAGGUAAAAACAACAACCAACUUUGGGUUCGAAGUUCAUCUAUCAAAAGUGUAUACAAGGGCAAUGUUUGCAGAUUUCAAAGAAACACUCUACCAUAGCACUGCAUUCCGAGCAGAAUGGUGCCCUGAGAACCCGACAAAUUAUCUCGUACACCACUACAACACAUCGGAUGCAUUUGACUGGGCAAGGCAUAAUUUCCAAGUGGUCGCCGAUGAAGAGAAAGGUGUCUACGAAUGUGAGUGCAAACUCUGGACACACAUAGGGCUCUUUUGCAUCCAUGUGUUAUGCAUGCUUUCUCAUUUGAAAGUACUCAAGAUUCCUGAGGUGUACAUCAUGAAAAGAUACACCCGUAACACAAGAUCAGAUGCAACGUUUGACAAAACAGACUAUGAACAAAUAGCACCAGAUGGAACCUCGCUUUUUUCCUGUAGAAAAUUGGUGACAAAAACAGCAAUGGACCUUGCAAACAGAGCAACAAGGUCCGACGCUGGGUGCGAUAGAGCGUUGUCUGGUAUGAGGGCACUGAUCGAGGAAGUUGACGUGCUUAACGAAGAAGAAGAAGAAGAAGCAACAAAACUAAAGCAAGCAGAGAAAUCCCAGCAUGACAAUAAUGCCGAGCAAGCAGAAAAUACUGAACACACCGGAAAUGGUGCUAUCAAAAAAGAAACAGUUCUUCCACCUCCUGUUUCAAACACAAGAGGAAGGAAGAAAGGGGGCGACGCAACCGAGAAAAAGGUGGCAUGCAAGGAGAAAAAUGAUGACAAAAACAGUAAGCCACAGCCUGAGCUGGACAGUGAUGGUCACCCACUGGGAAUAAGAAUGUGCAAAACAUGUAAUGAAAUCAGCGGCCACAAUUCUAGGACAUGUAAAAAAAGAGAUGAACAAGAAACACAAGGACAUGGCGAUGCAAAACCAAACAGAAAUUCCACUCACAACACUAAGAAAUGGACGAAACCGGGACGUUGUAGCAUCUGCAAAAAGUGGAAGAGACACAAUUCAAGAACCUGCCCAAAAAGAAAAAGAAAAAGAUCAGAAAAUGAGGAAGACGAAGAAGGUGAGAUCAAAGAAGAAGAUGGUGACACAACUAAAGAAGAAAUGGCUUAUGAAGAAGUAGAUGGAGAAGAGGAGGAAGAAGAAUAG
rnacentral:rRNA from 1 species